UACAGAGGGGGCAAGCGUUGUUCGGAAUUACUGGGCGUAAAGGGCUCGUAGGUGGCCAACUAAGUCAGACGUGAAAUCCCUCGGCUUAACCGGGGAACUGCGUCUGAUACUGGAUGGCUUGAGUUUGGGAGAGGGAUGCGGAAUUCCAGGUGUAGCGGUGAAAUGCGUAGAUAUCUGGAGGAACACCGGUGGCGAAGGCGGCAUCCUGGACCAAUAUUGACGCUGAGAAACGAAAGUGCGGGGAUCAAACAGG
rnacentral:rRNA from 1 species